CGUCACGGAUGGGCGACGAGGGAGCGCUGCUGAGCGUCCGGACGGACAGGAUGGCGCCACCGAGCAGGAGGUAACUUAAUUUUACCUUCAAAAUCGUCAAUUUCUUAUUCGUACACCUUCGCAUUGUGUAUGUUGCUUGGACUCCAUAAUCCAAAUCAUCCUGAUUGCGGGCUGACAGAAGAUACACCAGCAUCCAUGAAUCAAUCUAGAAUAAAAAAUUUGCCAGUUCAAAACAGAAUUGAAGUUUCGAAAAAUCUCCACGAAAAGUCAUAUUUGAAAGUGGACAAAAGAUGCCACACCCAAAAACCGCAUUUAAAGGAAAAAGGUUAAGAACAACUCCAAAGAGAUAUUCAAAUUUACUUCUACAUUUACAGCAGCUGUUACUCGAACUUUUAAUAAUAUCCCUAAACAAAAAGUGUCCAAAUUUGAAAUAGACUUAAUACUGUUUUGUCACUCCUUUGUCACUCAAUGAUUGAUGUCUUAAUUUAAAAAAAAAAAUGUAAAGCCAGAAUAACUGUUGUUGAUCCCGCCAAAAUCAAUUUACAAAAUAAUUUGUUGCCUAAUUCACAGGUGCACAUUUUCUAAGAAAUAAUAAUUAUAAUCCAUUUAUGGCUUAUAAAGGGAUAUGGUCAUUAAGUUAACUCCACUCGGCACUUCAGUAAUUAUUUAGAAAAAAAUGUAUUGUAACCCCCCAAAAAAAAUAUAAAAAGACAUGUAGACCUUUUGUUAUGUUGA